GCAGUGGGGAAUCUUGGACAAUGGGCGCAAGCCUGAUCCAGCCAUGCCGCGUGAGUGAUNAAGGCCUUAGGGUCGUAAAGCUCUUUCGCCAGGGAUGAUAAUGACAGUACCUGGUAAAGAAACCCCGGCUAACUCCGUGCCAGCAGCCGCGGUAAUACGGAGGGGGUUAGCGUUGUUCGGAAUUACUGGGCGUAAAGCGCGCGUAGGCGGACCAGAAAGUUGGGGGUGAAAUCCCGGGGCUCAACCCCGGAACGGCCUCCAAAACUCCUGGUCUUGAGUUCGAGAGAGGUGAGUGGAAUUCCGAGUGUAGAGGUGAAAUUCGUAGAUAUUCGGAGGAACACCNGUGGCGAAGGCGGCUCACUGGCUCGAUACUGACGCUGAGGUGCGAAAGUGUGGGGAGCAANCAGGAUUAGAUACCCUGGUAGU
rnacentral:rRNA from 1 species